UGUUUGUCCCUAGUUCCUGUGUUGGCUACCUUUUGAAAGGUACUCGUGUGGCUUGUCGGACUUUAUCCGUUCCAACCAAUUUUGUUGGUUGCGAAGGGCUUUCGAGGUGAAAUACGUGGCUGCCCGUUUAGUCCCGCUCUCUAUGCCGACUAUUUUGGUGCACAUGUACUAAUCGUGUUCUUGGAUGCGGUGCAUGAUGCGAACGUGGGUUUUUUCUCCCAAUGCGUGUCCCUCUUAUCGUUUGGUUGCCUAAAAUGACGCCCUGCCUUUAUGCUUUGCUUUGCUACUCCUUUGUGGGUCCAAAGCUUUCAUGAUGUGCAGA
rnacentral:misc_RNA from 1 species